UAAGUCCCGCAACGAGCGCAACCCUUUUCCUUACUUGCCAGCAUUUCGGAUGGGAACUUUAAGGAUACUGCCAGUGACAAACUGGGGGAAGGCGGGGACGACGUCAAGUCAUCAUGGCCCUUACGGCCAGGGCUACACACGUGCUACAAUGGUCGGUACAAAGGGUUGCUACACAGCGAUGUGAUGCUAAUCUCAAAAAGCCGAUCGUAGUCCGGAUUGGAGUCUGCAACUCGACUCCAUGAAGUCGGAAUCGCUAGUAAUCGCGGAUCAGAAUGCCGCGGCGAAUACGUUCCCGGGCCUUGUACACACCGCCCGUCACACCAUGGGAGUUUGUUGCACCAGAAGUAGCUAGCCUAACUGCAAAGAGGGCGGUUACCACGGUGUGGCCGAUGACUGGGGUG
rnacentral:rRNA from 1 species